rnacentral:rRNA from 1 species
CUACCCGGGUAUCUAAUCCCGUUUGCUCCCCUGGCUUUCGCGCCUCAGCGUCAAUGCCGGUCCAGGAUGCCGCCUUCGCCACCGGUGUUCCUCCAGAUAUCUACGCAUUUCACCGCUACACCUGGAAUUCCGCAUCCCUCUCCCGGAUUCAAGCCAACCAGUAUCGGACGCAGUUCCUGGGUUGAGCCCAGGGAUUUCACGUUCGACUUAGCAGGCCGCCUACGCGCCCUUUACGCCCAGUAAUUCCGAACAACGCUUGCCCCCUCUGUAUUACCGCGGCUGCUGGC